UUAAAUGAAAAUUAAAGAGAUAAGGAUGCACUAUUAGAUAAGAAUUACACAUGUAAAAACAUGGAAGUGAAAACGUGGUUUAACUUUCUACACAAAUGGGAGUGUAAAUGUGGUCUCCUAGUUGCCCAUACAAAUCAUCCAAACUCCCCUAUAAAUAGCAACCAUCACCCUCACCAGUUCUUCACACCAGCUCUGCUCUCCCUCUUUGCAUACAAUUGAAGUUAGUAAUUUCUUUCUUAUUCUCUCUUUGUUCUUUUGUUUGUUUUUCUUUUAAAUUCCUUUUCUUUCAUUUCAUUUCUUAUUUAUAUUAGCUUAGUUUCAUAGAGUCUUUCAUCUUUUCAUUAGCCUAGCAUUUGUUACAUAUACAUGAGCCUUUCCAUAAAAUUCCAUGAAGAACAAAUGAUCUUAGCUAUGCAACCUAGACAAUACCUGAAAUCAUGAUCAUAUACUCCAAGAAUGAUGAAAUUCCAUUUCUCUUGUUCUGCUUUUAUUCAAGUCUUGUGAUUAGGAACAGUUGUGUCUAGAAUUUAUUUCUAAAAUUUGACUCAAGCUGUUAAUUUCCAUACUUAAGCGUAUUUUAAGAACAAACUUUCGGUCCUCUGUACUCUUGUCCAUAACUAAUUGAAUGAUAUCAAACAUAUACUACAAGACUAAUAUUUAAUAUGGACACAUGGACUCAUGUUAAUCUUUCUUUACAAUAAUAAAGCAAAUUUAGACCGAACUUCUUAUAGGUACAUUUUAUUUAUUAGUUAUGANNNNNNNNNNGAUGAGUUAUUAGGUGAUGUUGGAGUUCAACGAAGUAAUUUAUCAAGAGAUUAUGGAAAGCUUCGAGGUAAGGGGAAUCACUAAUAAUAAGUUUCGAUGAGCACAAGAAAUGUGUUACUUGUAUAUAUAUUAUUAGUUAUAACUAGGGGUGUUGUGUACUUUAUAUUACUUUAUAUAGUAAUUUAUAUUCAUUAAGGUAUAUGCAAAAUGCAAAAUGAUGAGUGAUUGAUUUGGUUUGAGUUUAUGUGAAUAAAUCUUCUGCAAUGACAUGAUUUGAAAAUGUUUUGUGAAGAAGAAUAAAUAAAUUAUCUAUGUCUUUGGUUUGUUUAUUUAUAAUAAUAUCUAUAUGCUUGAGUAUUUAUGGUGAAAGUUUGAGGUGAUCUCAUAAGUUGUAUUAGGAGUGUUGAGGAUUAAUAUGUCUAAGUUAGAUAUUGACAAAGACAAAUUAAGUUGAAGAG
rnacentral:lncRNA from 1 species